rnacentral:tmRNA from 1 species
GGGGGCGAAAUGGGUUCGACGAGGGUAGUGAGAUAAGGGUGCAUGCCGAGGUCCCAACCCUCGUAAAAAAAUGGGAACUAAGAUAACUGCCAAUUACAACUACGCCUUAGCCGCCUAAAGUGCGGUUAACGUCCUCUCAAGUUCGCCUGUAGGCAUGGGAAGGGCGUCAGAGAUGCAGGCUAGCCCCGCCUGAUGCUUAUAAGGGUGGGGCGAAUUUCCAUAAGCUAGCCCUUGGGGAUCCUGCCUGGAGGAGCCCCAAGAGGUGAAAGAAAAAUCCAGACUAAGCAUGUAGAUACCCUUAUGGAUCUGCUUUCGGACGCGGGUUCGAUUCCCGCCGCCUCCACCA